GAUGAACGCUGGCGGCGUGCCUAAUACAUGCAAGUCGAGCGAACGGACGAGAAGCUUGCUUCUCUGAUGUUAGCGGCGGACGGGUGAGUAACACGUGGAUAACCUACCUAUAAGACUGGGAUAACUUCGGGAAACCGGAGCUAAUACCGGAUAAUAUUUUGAACCGCAUGGUUCAAAAGUGAAAGACGGUCUUGCUGUCACUUAUAGAUGGAUCCGCGCUGCAUUAGCUAGUUGGUAAGGUAACGGCUUACCAAGGCAACGAUGCAUAGCCGACCUGAGAGGGGGAUCGGCCACACGGGAACUGAACCACGGUCCAGAGGCCUACGGGAGGCAGCAGUAGGGAAUCUUCCGCAAUGGUCGAAAGCCUGACGGAGCAACGCGGCGUGAGUGGUGAAGGUCUUGGGUGCGUAAAACUCUGUUAUUAGGGAAGAACAGAUGUGGAAGGAACUGUGCACAUCUUGACGGUACCUAAUCAGAAAGCCACGGCUAACUACGUG
rnacentral:rRNA from 1 species